UGCAAAUAUUUAUUGAGUGUGCACUUUGUGCAGAGUUUGUGCCAGCUACUAGAGAGGAUACAGGAAAGCAGCUGAUUCCAAGCUCUUAACUACCCCUACCAUUCUGUUGCUGCUGUGACCAUUGCUGCUCAAACUAUUUCUUAUUCCUGGCUAAUGUUUAUUAGUUGGAUCCUACACAUCAGGAACUCAUGUCUGCUGCUUCUGUAUAUUAUCUCAUUUAAUCCUCAAAAUGACGCUAAGGAGUGGUUAUGAUUAUGCCUAAAUGCAGCUGUGCUGUUCAUUGUGAACUAUGGGGAAUCGUGGGUUUUGGGUUGCACAGUUGCUUGAUUGUCCCUUUAGUUAGUGCUUUGGUUCCUUUCUCAAGGGCAGGGCCCUCAUUCUCUUCUGAUAUUCUCCCAAGCCAGCUUCUAGCCCUGCUGUGUUCAGGAGGGACCAUUUGGGCAGUACAGCUCUGUUGCUUAUGUGAGGUCAGACAGAGGCCUCCCCAGACAUAGCUCUCUGAGCUUCCUGGGACCUGCACGUCCCUUUCGCUGUUGUACCACAAGGAUCCACUCUUCUUCCUGGCUGGUGGGGGCUGGGGGUGGGGGAGUUUCUCAGUCCCAAAGCAGAAAUGGUAGUGCCUGCAUUGUCUGGGAAAGAAUCACCACCUAUUUGUGAGGUUUCCUGGGCUGCGCUCCCUACCCAAUUUUCAAUAAUGUUGCUAACGAGCCAGAGAGAGGAACCAACAUAAUUCACAGUACACAGUUAUUAAAAUGAGCAGACCUGCACAAGAAGACACACACAUAAUGGGCGCUCUAGGUUGAAAAAAAACAUACAAACUAACCAGGGCACAGAAGUAAGGGGGUCACAGUUCACUGUUCACUGUGUGUCUUAGAUUCAGCUUCCUGAGGAGCAGCUCGGAGACAGGGAUUUGUAAGCAAAUGGUUUAACUGGGAAAUGGUCCCAGAGAGCACCGUAGAGAGUGGUGAGCUUGAGAGAGAAGGAAAGGAAGCUGGUUACCACUGUAGGAAAGUGGAGUUUAAUCCUACUGGGGAACUCUGUAAACAGUGCAGAACAUGAGUCUCAGCUCUGUCUCUCCAAAGAGUGAGGUAGCUGCGUGUUUAUACACCAACUCCCACCAGCCACUGGUGGAGGGCCCCAGGCUGCCUUGAGUUUGUCUCGUGAUGGGAGGUUCUGGGGUGCUUUUGUGGCCAGAAAAACUUGUGGAAAGGGAGAUACAGAUGCUAGCUGGUGGAGGUCAGGACAGCCUGCUCAGAAACAGUACAUAGCCAAAGGGUAUGGUUGGGGCACUGACAGCUUCUGCUAAAUUGUGGGAACUGGUACCUUCCAGAUGGUGAGUCAUUCAGUCCUCAUUAUAAGCUGGUGAGGCAGGUGAUGUCCACACUAUAGAGAUAGGGGAGCCAAGGGGCAUACAUUUCUCAUGUUUCUUGACUAGAGCAUCGUUCUCUAGAGCAUAGGAUGUUUUAGCAUCCUGGACUUCUUCGGCUAAAUGCCAGUGGCACCUUCCCAUUCCUCAGUCAUUGUGAUAACUAAUUAGCCAUCCAAAUUGGAUAAAAAAAUCCUCUCCCCUCCCAAAUGCUGAGUAGAAAGGAUCUUCUGUAAGGCAGGUGUUCCAUUUAAAUCACUUUACAUUCUACCCUAGGGUCAUGUUUAUUGGUUAGAUUGAGAAUGAGCUGAUCUGCAGCAACAUAAUUGUUGGAGCACCCUUUCCAUGUUCUGUGGAAUGGGAAUUCUUAAACUGAACUCAUGGGAGUGUCUGAGGACUGAGUAACACGUGUUUAGCACAGUGCCUGGGAGAAAGUAAGUGCUCAGACAACCUCAGCUGUUAUUAUUGGCUGAAGAGAGCUCUUUUUUUCAACAGCAAUGCAUUUCUUACCUGUUCAUUUCCUCCCCGCUCUCUCUUAUUCCCUGUGUUCCCUGCCCCCAUGAUACCCCUGUCCAAACUCCUUGAGACCUCUGGACAGAAGAAGGAACUGAUGCUUGCGUCUCUGUUUUCACAAAACAAAGCUGUAGUUAUCAGGCCAGAAUCAUCUCAGCUGAGGCUGGAGCAGGCCAGAGAGGAAAAAAGGCCACAUGUUGGGUAGAGAUUCCAUGCUGACAGCUGGGAUUCAGCCCUGAGUGUUAGCGAGUGUUGUG
rnacentral:lncRNA from 1 species